rnacentral:rRNA from 1 species
CGCGCACACACUGCCCGUUUCUUGCGCCAAAUACUGGCCCUUUGAAAUUAAAAGGCUACUCAAGGAAGGGGAGGCAAGUCGUAUCAUGGUAAGUGUAC